rnacentral:rRNA from 1 species
UACAGAGGGUGCAAGCGUUGUUCGGAAUUAUUGGGCGUAAAGCGCGUGUAGGCGGCCUAGCAAGUUGGGUGUGAAAGCCCUCGGCUUAACCGAGGAAGUGCGCCCAAAACUACUAGGCUUGAGUACCGGAGAGGAUGGCGGAAUUCCCGGUGUAGAGGUGAAAUUCGUAGAUAUCAGGAGGAACACCGGUGGCGAAGGCGGCCCUCUGGACGGUGACUGACGCUGAGACGCGAAAGCGUGGGGAGCAAACAGG